rnacentral:rRNA from 1 species
GACGAACCGAGCGAACGUUGUUCGGAAUCACUGGGCUUAAAGGGCGCGUAGGCGGGCUGCCGCGUCCGGGGUGAAAUCCCACGGCUCAACCGUGGAACGGCCCCGGGUACGGGCGGCCUCGAGGGGGGUAGGGGCGUGCGGAACUGUGGGUGGAGCGGUGAAAUGCGUUGAGAUCCACAGGAACUCCGGUGGCGAAGGCGGCAUUCUGGACCGAUAUUGACGCUGAGGAGCGAAAGCCAGGGGAGCAAACGGG